UACGGAGGGUGCGAGCGUUGUCCGGAAUCACUGGGCGUAAAGGGCGCGUAGGCGGCGCGGAAAGUCGUCGGUGAAAGCUCGGGGCUCAACCCUGAGUCUGCCGGUGAUACUCCCGCGCUCGAGCUCACUAGAGGCAGAUGGAAUUCCGGGUGUAGCGGUGGAAUGCGUAGGAGAGUCCGGAAGAACACCGGUGGCGAAGGCGGUCUGCUGGGGUGAGGCUGACGCUGAUGCGCGACAGCGUGGGGAGCAAACAGG
rnacentral:rRNA from 1 species